rnacentral:misc_RNA from 1 species
GAUGAAUAACGUAGCGAAAUGCGAUAAGUAGUGUGAAUUGCAGAAUUCAGUGAAUCAUCGAAUCUUUGAACGCACAUUGCGCCUUCUAGUAUUCUGGGAGGCAUGCCUGUUUGAGCGUCAUUAAACCUCUCUCAAGUAUGAUUACUUGGAUGUGAAGGAAGAGUACCUUAAACUUAAGGAGUGUUCUCCUUUGAAAUUGAUUAGCAGAUGGUAAUGUUAUUAAAUCCCUGAUGUUGUAAGAAAUAACAGUGGUUUUGUAGACUAUUAUCUAGCUUUAAAUUAUAAUUUUUAUUAUGGUUGACCUCAAAUCAGGUAAGGAUACCCGCUGAACUUAAGCAUAUCAAUAAGCGGAGGA